GCCAGGCGUGGUGGCUCACGCCUGUAAUCCCAGCACUUUGGGAGGCUGAGGUGGGUGGAUCACUUGAGGCCAGGAGUUCAAGACCAGCCUGGCCAACAUGGUGAAACCCCAUCUCUA
rnacentral:SRP_RNA from 1 species